rnacentral:rRNA from 1 species
UACGGGGGGUGCGAGCGUUGUCCGGAAUCACUGGGCGUAAAGGGCGCGUAGGUGGUUUGAUAAGGGUGUGGUGAAAGCCCGGGGCUCAACCCCGGGUCUGCCGUGCCGACUGUCAAACUCGAGGGCUGUAGAGGCAGACGGAAUUCCAGGUGUAGCGGUGAAAUGCGUAGAUAUCUGGAGGAAUACCGGUGGCGAAGGCGGCGAUCCUGGACCAUAACUGACGCUGAGGCGCGAAAGCUAGGGGAGCAAACGGG